AUAGAUUCUCUCGCUUAUCGUGUUCCCCUGAAGAAUCGCUAACGUGGAUUUACGUGAAAAAACGAGAGAGUAAGUCUGUGUGCGUGUGUGUCGUGAGAGAUUUCAUCGGUUUAAUUAGGGAAAGAAAAUUUCUCGAUACUUUUUAUUCGCAUACAAUUCGGUGGGAAUAGGUGCGCUAGUGUCGCUGAUGUUUCCACACGGAUACAUUUAUCAUCCUAUAUGCAAUAUCGUAUUUCGCAUAAACACGUAUGUUCCCUUUUAAUUUGCGAUCUUGUCAAAAAAGAUGGUAUAUUCGUUCGAUUAUAAGAAAACCUAUAAUCCUAUAUAUAAUUCGAUAUAUUUUCUUUUUUUCCACUUUAUCGAGUACGAUUAUUUGAGAAACAUUAGUAAGUUACGCGUCGAGAUUCUUUUAUCCUUAUCGAAAGUACAAUGCGUAUAUACGUAUUCAUAUCCCACACGUAUCUUAUCCCACUACGCAGGGAAAAUUCUAGAAUACGAAGUCUCUUCUACAAAUAUUUCUUGUUAUCCGUAGUAAUACGUAAAUGUUGCAUCACUAUACAUACGCUUUUCUAUCGAUUCAAUAAUCGUCGUACGAAGAUAAUUGCGUUCGAUAAUACGUUCGAGCUUUAUUCGCUUCCAUUGGGAAGAUAACAAAAAAUAGAACGUAAUUUUUAUUUCUUUCUCGUUUGAUUUUCUCAUAGAAAUCGUUCAACAUAGAAAUUCGAUAUAGGUAUAGCGUAAAAAUAUUCCAAUGUCGUUUGGAACGAAAAGAAUUAUUAAAAAGAAAGAACACAAAAAUAGAUUGUAUGUAACGCGCUACGAAUUGGAAAAUAUCCGGACGCUACUGCAUCGUUCCUUCUUCCCGCCGAUGGUUUGAAUUUACGCGGCUCUUUGAAUCCAUUCACUUCCGGUGGAACGCAAAUUUUUGUCAAACACGUUCGAGGUUAUAUUAUAAAAUGGAAUUAUAAUAUAACGUUCGUUGAGCCGACAAAAAGAAUUGGCAAACAGUUAUUAUAAUUUUAUCGAACGACAUUAACUCAUUUUAAAUAAUGAUUAUACAUAUAUGUGGGUUUAGUUCAUUGCCAUGUAAUGCUAAGAAAAUACAAUUAAUCUCGAUUAUCAUGCAAAUCAUUCGAAAGGAAGCACCGACGAUGAGAGAAGAUUUACCAAUUAACUUUUCACGCGUGGAAAUAUGCCCAAGAUCCUUAUAGUAUAGAUACACAUGAAAAGUGCGUAAAAGACAUUUGUCAUAUUUCAGCAAUGGCAUGACUAAUCGACACGCGCGAACGAUACUAUAAUAAUAUUAUUAUUUACAUUGAAAGAUCGAGAUAAGAGAGUGUCACAACGCAAUUCCCGUUUUCAAGCCCAAGGCCGAAAUACUUCGAGUCAUAUCUUUAUCCUCGUGUACGGGCUAAAUUACUAUCUUUGAAAAACUCCUGACAACGACGACGAUCGGUAUACAAAGUCCACCACUCUUCUCCAUCUCUCUUCUUCAACUUUAUUUGCGGUAAAUAUGCUCCCUGAGACGAGAAAGGAUAGCGAUUUCCCUCUGCGUCAUAAUCAUAAUUAAAACGGAUUGGUAGAUAAAAGGAGAGGGACGUGUCAGAGAGAGAGAGAGAGAGAGAGAGAGGGGGGGGGGGUGGUGCACGUACACACAGAGAUUGCGUGUAAGGAAUACCGUUAAUCGAUCUGCUUCGAUCGGGGAACAAAGACGGGGAACAUUAACCGUGAAACGAUUAAACACUACGGAAACUGGUUUGACCAAAAUAAACGGACCGUUCGUCUUACAAAUGCUACGAAGGAGAGCUAAUUCAGAAGUAGACGCAAUCGAGCUGGGAAGGAAUUAAACGGCCUCGUUUACUGUGGUGACCUUAUGCAAAAAAAGAAAAAAAGAAAAAAAGAAAAAAAUGGUAAAAGCCACGCAUUCAUCGUUAACGAACGCAUCGGGCGCUCAGGUGUAAACGAACAAAUGACGUGGUCUCCCGAAGUCGCCAGAAAAAAAAGAAAAGAAAGAAAAAGAAAGAAAAAGAAAGUCUCCGGUCGAAUAGCCAUAA